rnacentral:rRNA from 1 species
CAGAGACCUCAAGCGUUAUCCGGAAUCAUUGGGCGUAAAGCGUACCGAUAGGUGGUUAUACAAGUCAGAAGUGAAAUCUCCGAGCUCAACUCGGAAUCUGUCUUUUGAAACUGUAUGACUAGAGGGGCAAAGAGGAAGCUGGAACGAACGGUGUAGUAGUGAAAUGCGUUGAUAUCGUUCGGAACACCAAUAGCGUAGGCAGGCUUCUGGGUGCCACCUGACACUGCUAGGACGAAAGCGUGGGGAGCGAAGGGGAUUAGAUACCCCCGUAGUCCACGCUGUAAACGAUGAUGACUAGGCGCUAGGGAGUAUCGACCCUCUUUAGUGCCACAGCUAACGCGUUAAGUCAUCCGCCUGGGGAGUACGGCCGCAAGGCUAA